ACCCUCAAAUCAAUUAAGGAGUUUAGUGUUACUUAUAUAGCAGCCGGUGGUGGUCAAUUGGGUAAACUGCGAUAAUGAAUAUUUGGUAAAUCGAACCGACUUUGGAAACAGUACUAUUUGGUGGAGCAUCACUUACGAUAGCCAUCGUCGAUAACUUGAAUAGAAGAUUUCCGAAUGUGUUGUUGUUGCAAGCACGAACUAAUUUGAAGCAGGUAUGCUCUGCUUUUUAUCAGUAUAGAGGUUAAGUCACCACCAUUUUUGCUGCUUUUCAAACCAUCUCUUCCCUCCUUCAACUCUGACCACUGGCCUAGAUUACAUGGACUCUCUAUUUUAAUGGACGACGUCGACGAGUUUUCAACUUCUGUCGUCAUCAGAUAGCUAAUGUACACCAGAGAAAUGUGCUAUGUAAGUAUCCUCUAUCUUCACAUUUUGUGACCCUGUGAAUGUACGUUGAAGUAGUUUACGUCAGCAAUUUGACAGUAAUUCGGUCAAAUUCUACCAAAAUAACCUGAAAAUGUUCAAGAUUAAAAACCCUAACGUGGUGUUUGGUGAUAAAGUUAACUUUGUUGAUUUGGAGUUUAUUGAUGUGUGUUUUCCUAAUUUAAAGUAUCUUGCAUUGAUUUAUGGUUUUAGAGAUGAUUUUAAUGACAUUGUUCUUCAGUAUAGUUUGUAGAGUGAAUUUGAAUAUGAGAAUGUGAGUUUUUAGAUCUUGAAUGAAUGAUUCUUGGUAAACAUUUUGUGGUUUGGGCUGCGUGUUUACUUAGAAGAUGUCGGUGAUUAAAGAAGUUAGUAAUUCAUGGAUUUGUUUCAGAGUCUCAAACACAUGUCACUCUCGUAUGUUGAAUUGUUUCAAGAUUCGGGCUUUUGUGUUACUAGGCAUGUGGUCGUGGGUUUCAUUGGCGAUGGAAGAGAAAUCACACCCCAACCCGUAUGUGGGUUUCCGUUCAAUUGGGAAAAACUAGGUUGGGGAAGAGACUGAUGGAAGAGAAAUGACACCCGCAGCUUAUGUUGGUUUCCAUCUGAUUUAGAAGUUGCUUACAAAACUUGUCAUGUGACAUUGGUUCAUAGAGCCAAUCUCAGGUCUGGAAGUUUCUUUUUAGCAUGAAAAAGGAUUUUGACAACAAUAUUUGAAGUUGUGUUAGGGUUUAAGUUUUUAUAUCAACGGAUAAGACCAAAUGCCAAUAAUAUUUUUUCAAGUCACUCACACAAACCAACACCAAAAAGCGUCCAAGCCACCACAGUCAAGCAAUCUCAUCAUCAACUUGUCAUCCGAAGUCUUCAGCACCGCAAUGUGUAUCUUUACUUAGUUUAUUUUGUCUAUUCUGUAAAACACUCUAAUGUCCAGUAUGCCUUGCAUAACUACUCUUAGAGUUGUAAACCUGUCUCUAUAAAUAGAGAUCAUUUCUCAUGUAAUCAGUACCGGUAUGAAUCACUCUUUAAUUCUAAUACACAUCUUCAAGUUCUCAUUCCA